rnacentral:sRNA from 1 species
UUGUCAGCUAAGCGCUCGGCCAUUUCCCGGAGACUUUUUCUAAAGAAAUGAGAAAUUUUGGGAUCCAUGAUGUGGCACAGCAUCCCGAAAUUAAAGAGAGCUAUGUGACUAAUACAGAAUGGGACAUACAAUAAAGGCCUUAUGAGACAUUCAUAGGUACUGGUGAUGCAGAUCAUUGUGGGCCCCAGGAUAUCCGGGACGAUCCAGAAUCCUCGAAUUGGAGCUGGCUGCCUAGAGAGAGACAGUCAGAGGUAAGUUACAAAGCAGCAAGUGCACCAGAACCAAUAGCAACUGUAUGACUGGUCCAUGGCCUUUUGGGGCCUGUGACGUUCAGACUGUCAAUGUAGUAAUCACCACAAACAUGGUUACUUGGAAACACAAUGUACUCUGAUCAGUUUAAACCAAGCUCCCACUUAGCAAUCUAUAAGCUAUUUGCCAGUUACCCAGGCAUACACAGCCUAUAUGUCUUUCUCCCCACUAACAUGUAAGGCCCAUCUAUCUCAGUGAACCUUGUCCAGUGCCAACAAACUGCUCAGAGAUCUGAGUGAACAGGGCUUUGGAAUCUUACAUACCCAGUGACCCAACACCUGCCACAGGACAGCUUCAUUUCAUGUGGUGUGCACAGCACUGUUUCCUUCUAUUUCUUUCACCAGAAGUGGGGAAAAAACAAGGGUCUCAAAUAGGAACUGUUGUCUCUACCAAUGUGCCUUAUUAACUGGUCUACAUGCCCAUUCUCCCUGUGCCUAACCACAUUGCUACACCUUAGUGGCAAUGCCACCUCUUGUCACUCGCAUCUGAAGUGUGCCAUCAACCGUACAGUUUCAAAGUGUCCCAUUAUGGAUCUCCUCUCAGCUUACAGACAAGCUCAUGUUUUGUUUUGUCCGUCAAACAUUCUCUACUGUGGCUUUAUGGGAAGCUUCACUGUGCCCAAUCUGGCUCCCUUUAACCUGUUCUUUAUUUUCUAGCAGCAACCAUGUGAGAGAGUGGAGUGUACACACAAGUGCCUGUUCACACACCUGUGUGUAGGCACAGCUUCACUUUGGUCCCUGAGCUAGGGUCUCACGGAGCUAUGCUGGCAACCAGCAAGUCCUAGUUAUCCUCCUGUUCCUGUUCCUAUUAGGAAGAGGGAGACAUAGGACCUAGCCACACCUAGCUCUUUACGUCUACUCAGAAAUCUGAACUCAGAUCUUAUUGUUCAGCAAGUCCUGUCACCCACAGACAUCCCCAGCCCUUAUGUCUCUUUCUAAAGUAAACUUUAUCUAAAAA